rnacentral:rRNA from 1 species
AGUGAACGCUGGCGGUAGGCCUAACACAUGCAAGUCGAACGGCAGCACAGUAAGAGCUUGCUCUUACGGGUGGCGAGUGGCGGACGGGUGAGGAAUACAUCGGAAUCUACUUUUUCGUGGGGGAGAACGUAGGGAAACUUACGCUAAUACCGCAUACGACCUACGGGUGAAAGCAGGGGAUCUUCGGACCUUGCGCGAUUGAAUGAGCCGAUGUCGGAUUAGCUAGUUGGCGGGGUAAAGGCCCACCAAGGCGACGAUCCGUAGCUGGUCUGAGAGGAUGAUCAGCCACACUGGAACUGAGACACGGUCCAGACUCCUACGGGAGGCAGCAGUGGGGAAUAUUCGACAAUGGGCGCAAGCCUGAUCCAGCCAUACCGCGUGGGUGAAGAAGGCCUUCGGGUUGUAAAGCCCUUUUGUUGGGAAAGAAAAGCAGCAGGUUAAUACCCCGCUGUUCUGACGGUACCCAAAGAAUAAGCACCGGCUAACUUCGUG